GACGACGUGGCCGAGUGGUUAAGGCGGUAGAUUGCUAAUCUACUUUCCUCUGGAAGCGCAGGUUCGAAUCCUGCCGUCGUCG
rfam:Fistulifera solaris DNA, contig: scaffold00131, strain: JPCC DA0580.